GGAAAAUGAUUUUGUGUCCCUCAGUGCCACAAGAGGAACCAUAGGAUACAUAGCACCUGAGUUGAUUUCAAGGAAUUUUGGAACUGUUUCUUGCAAGUUAGAUGUUUACGGUUUUGGGAUGGUGUUGUUGGAAAUGGCUGGAGGAAGAAGGAAUUCCAAUAUGAAUGCAAGUCGUUCAAGCAAAGCAUAUUUCCCAUCUUGGGUAUAUGACCAAUUAAAUAAGGGAGGUGAUUUAGAGCUUCAGAAUGUUACUGAAAUUGAAUCCAUGAUAGCAAGGAAACUGUGUAUGAUUGGUUUGUGGUGUAUUCAGGUGAAGGCAGCAGAUUGCCUCUCUAUGACAAAAGUUUUAGAGAUGUUAGAAGGGAGUAUUGACGAUUUGCAAAUGCCUCCUAGACCUUUCUUCUCUUCUUGACAUAUCUCCGGAACUGGAAGAGAGAUUGAAUCAGAUUCUUCAGCAGAGUUGUUAGUGUCUGAAUCAAUGGAGGAAUGUUCUUUCAAUGAUAGUUUUGUUUAAUUUUUGCCAAGGAUGAAUGUAAAAUAAAUAAAUAAAUAAUAGAUUGCAAUGACAAAGGUUCUCUAUCUUCUUGUUGCUUUAUCUCGCAUUGAAACUUAAUGCAUAUAUUUGUGAGUGCAAGCUAGUUUAGUAGUUGAAAUCUCCUACUCAUAUAGGUGGCAAUAUGAUGUAAUUAGACGUGCGCUAUGCUUUAAAAAGAAAAUAAAAGUCUCUCGCAUUGAUUACAAACACUGGAUAGGAGUUGGAAAUUUUAUUCUGUAUUUUUAUCACACAUUGAAAAUUGAUCACAAAAAAACCAAGUAUACACCUUCAUUCAGCCUAUUCUUAUAAUUGGUGUCCACAAAUGUCAUGGAGGACUACUCUCUUGUGGGGCUGCCAUUGACUUAAAUAAAAUGCAUUUUAGCCAUCCAAAUUCCAAAAAUGAGUGUCAUUUGCUCUUUCACAUUAAGAAAUAUAUCCUCAACCAAGAAGGAAGAGAGAUUAAUAUUACACGAAAAAGCAUCCCUAUUUCUCAUUUUCUCCAUGUCACCUGUGCUUAGUUUAAUUCUCUUCCUUCUCUUUCCUUACACAGAAGCCAAAACUUCAGAAGGAAACAAUGAUACAAAUAUUUAUGAAUUUUGUCAGCCAACAACAUGCAGCACGAAGGGACCAAAUAUCAGAUUUCCCUUUAGACUCAAAACUCAACCUAUCUCUUGCGGUCUUGAAGGGUUUGAAUUAUCAUGCUUAAACACCAAGACAGUGUUGCACCUUCCUUCCUCUAGCGAUUAUUAUGUGCAGGACAUUUCUUAUCUUCACAGCAGAAUUACCAUUAUGGAUGUACAUGAGUCCACAUGCCCUUUAAAAACCAGCCGAGCGGCUUUGUCAAAUUAUAGAUUGAUGUAAAAGGGAAGAGCUUAAAUUAAAUAUUUGAAUCUUAUUCUGAUUUUUUAAAAAUAAUUUAUAAGAGUUCAUAAAAAAAAGUUGUAAAUGUGUAAUUUAGAUAAAUAUGAAUACCCAAAUAAAAUUGGGCAAACUUUUAUUUUUCAUGAUGCUUUUUUUUUCCUUUAAAACCAAAAUAAAUUUAGGAUUCAUUUAUGUUUUAAUCACAUGCUUGUUUCAAAAUUUUACUUUCUUACAACAUUUUAUGAUUUUUUUUUAAAAUGUGCUCGCAUAUUUGUUAAAUUUAAGAAUUAAAGUCCAUGAUAUUAUAUUCAUCUUUAAGUUUCUCGAACAGUUACUUCAGAAGUGAAUCAGACUAGAAGGAAAAAAAAUGAACAAAAAAAGGGAACAGUUCAUGGCUUUAUACUUCUUUAUGGACUGUGGUUGCCUCAAUGAAUAGCCCAAGUGAUUAUUGGGCUUUUAAUUCGGCUCCUAUGAAAGGCCCAAAGCGUCCACGAUGAAGCAGAUCACAGGAGCAGUCUCAAAUCUCAAUUUUGAAUCUCUCUCAACUCCUCAAGCGGGGUUUCAUUUUGAAUGCCGCCAUUGGCCUCAUUUCACAAUAUAGAUGUGCAUGCAUGGAGGAUAUAUAUACACUGGGUGUAGUUGUGUAUAUAUCACUUAUAAAGUUAUCAUUAUAUUAUGAGUAUAUCUUUCUAUGUAUGUAUAUAUGUAUGUAUGUAUAUAUGAACAAAUAAAAUAAUAACUAUACGAAAAUUUAUAAGUAGCACCUGAAAAAAUAUCAGUAGAUUACUUUAGUUUUGAGGUCCAAAUGAUGCUGCACGUUGAUAACGGAAUACAGAGAGCUCAAAGAUUUAAAAUGCAUUUGAUUAAUGACAUUUUAAUUUAUGUGCUCUCCAUCUUCUGUCAACAAAAUUUUAAAAAAUUAGCGCCCUCUACUUCAAUCAGACCAAACACAUGGACCAAAUAUUAAUGAGGAAAAAAAAACCAAUCGAUACACUUUUGUCUCCACAAUAAUAAAUAGCUGCUGAAUGGCCAUGGAAGCGUGCAUAUCCACAGCGGCACGGAAUUAAAGUAGUUGAUAAACUGUUUACAAUAGCAAGGACUUUGUAUGCAUGAUGCCAAUUAAAUGGUUGCGGGCUUAAAAGCAUUAAUUUAUGAAGUGCUUCUCCCUUUUAGGAUGGAGAUAAGUCAAGACUACACUGCUUUCCCUUCUUUUCUUGUUCGCCUUUUGUAAUAGAUACUUUUUUUUUAACUUAUUAAGCAUCAGGUUAUUAUAUUACAUAGAGAUAUUUACAACUUUAAUAUGACAGCAGAUCAUUGCACUGAUAUUUACAAUCAUAUAUAUACCUAAAACUUACAUUAUUAUAUUUUUAUUUUAUAAAGUACAAGCCUAGCCAAAUACCCCUCACAGAGGAAGGAUGUCUUUACUCCACUCGCAUUUCGCAAGGGAGAAGGAUGUUACAAGCAAUAGAUACGUUAUUAUAUUGUUUUUUUAGCACAUUUUCAAUGAGACUACUAUUCCCAUAUCAGCUGCCACGUUAACCAUUUGAUCAAUAUUUUAUUUUAUGGAUUUGAAUUCGACAUGACAGAUAUUAGAAACCAAUGGCAUACAACAUGACCAAAUUUUACAUCAAUACAUACAUUAUACUAAUGUAGCUGUGACAUUUGAAAUAAGCAAUUAUUCCAUUAAAUCCAUUUACGGCAGAACUACAUACCACAUGAAACGCAAUAGGACUCGUUCCAAUGUCACAAAAUUAAUAAGAAAACAUUUCAUAGAGAGGAAAUCUCUGCGGAAGUGAAUUGCCUUCAUAAAAUAUCAUAGUGACACUUUGACUCUUGACGGCAAAUAGGGCUACUCAUAGAACCAAUCUUGAAUCGGAAAUGGAGAGUUCUAAAAACCACAUGAAAAAUUAACUUUCGAAGACGCAUCAAAAUGUUGCACCAAGCAUAAGAUUCAAGAUAUCCUUAACUCGAAUUUGUUGUAUGUAAGUUAAGUGGAAAUAUCAGGACACAUUGAUUUUCUUCCCCUCUGCGCCUAACUAGUAUUAUAUCGUUGUGAUUAAUAACAUAUAAAUUGAUCUAAAUUUUUGUCAUAAACUAUAACAUUUGUACUUUAAUCUACUUGAGAUUAAUGAACGUCAUAUAUGAUUAAAAAAAUUAUUAAUUUCAUCUCUUUUGUUAUUUUAAUAAUCUAUUAUAUGCUGUUAUAUCCCAUGAUCAAACUAUGUAUUCGACUGUUAAUUUUUCAAUAUUAUUUUAUUAUAUAUUUACUCGUUUCCAUAAUCACAGUCUAAUUAAUUAUUUAUAUAUAUAUAUAUAUAUUUGGACUUUGGUGGUCUCCAUAAGAAGCCCAACUCAUAUUGGGCAUUUGAAGUUUAAAUCAUUAAAAAGUUCAAUUAGUCCCCAAUGCACAAGGAUAGACUAAUAUCCUCAUGGCAUUUUUUGACGUAAUUGAUUUGUCAAAAGUGUGUGUGUAUAUAUUGACACACGCGCACGCACGCGCGCGCACACACACACACACACACACACACACAUAUAUAUAUAUAUUGUUAUGCGUGGAAUUCUGCAUAUUUUAACACGUGAAUUUACUAAUAUACUGUAUAUUAAUUAAUUGAAAAAAAAUUAAUAAAAACACUAAUGGCAUAUUAGUGCCGUCACACACGCCUACAACAUAAAAACUUAUCAUGCAUUAAAUAGAACGCAAUCGUGCACACCGGAUCAUAAUUUUAAUUAUAUAUAUCUUUCUUUAUUCAUAAAAAUAAUAAUAAUAAUAGUAACAAUAAUAAUUACAACAGCAACCACAAUUUUUAGAAACGCGUGAACUUGACAUGAGAAGUCCUCGUUCUUCUGCGUGUCGGUCGCUUUAAAAGUGUUGGUCGUCGGGGGCCGUUCCAAAUUUCCAAUGCCGCGUUUCUCCAAUCUUGUUAAAAUAAACAAAUAAAUAAAGUAAGCCAUUGCGUUUGGUGGUGAGAAAAAUUAAGAAAGCGAAAGAUAUUGACUGGAAUUGGACUGCAUGCAUGGAAACUGUUUCCAAUAAGUUCUGUUGCUAUUAAUAUUGAAGAACGUUUACUAAGAAAUUUGAGGUCAAGUUAGGAUGGGGAUGGAUGGAUCAUCCCAACGUUUACUAAGAAAUUUGAGGUCAAGCUAGGAUGGGAAUGGAUGGAUCAUCCCAUUCCCACCGAUGCUAACUCAUUUACAAUUACCAGGAAAUUAAGCGACUUCACUUUGCCGUAUUGACUUCCCCAUUGAAAUCUGAAAGCUUCCACCUAAACAAAUCGUGGAAAGAGACUUCAGAAGCUGCGUGGCAUCCGCAUACAAAAUUUAUAGUAAGAAACGAAAUUGAACAUGUUUAUCUAGAUUUGUCCCUUUAUCUUCCAUUGCAUUAAUGCUUGAAGCCUAGCACUCAGUAAUUAAAAAUUUUCUUCCAUCGUGUCGAUUUCAUUUUAUGAAUAAUUAAUAUUAUUUUUAAAAAAAUUAUUUAGCGCUAAUUAAUUCAAUCACAUAGUUGUAUACUAAACUAUGAUAAGUUUAAAGCCCGCCUCUCACCGUGCAAGUGAAACUGUAGAAAACAUAGCGCAUUAACACUUUUAUACCGUUCUGCUCAGUUUAUUCAAAUUCAUUAAUUGUAUCUUGGAAUUGGAGGAGCAAUGAGUAGUGACGAAGCUUCAAUUUUCUCAACUUUUCUGUUUUGUCUGUUGAUGUUUGUAUUCAUCACCAGUGAAAUUGAAGCAAGAAAACUUGAAGUAAAAAUGUGUUCUUCUUCUUGUGGAGAUGUCAAAAACAUAAGCUACCCUUUUCGCCUCAAGGGCGAUCCAGCUGGAUGCGGCCAUCCGGAGUUAGAACUUUCUUGCGAGAGCAACAAAACCAUCUUAGAAUUCAAUUCUGGAAAGUACUAUGUGAAGAGAAUUUCCAAUGAUAAACUUACAAUCAGUGCUGCUGAUGUUAACCUAGCCAAUGGAAGCUGCAGCCUCCCGUACAAAUCUUUUUCCCAAACUUAUUCCCCUUCCAAAAAAUCUUUUCAUUACCUUCUCGAUUCAUACGCUUAUUACGUGAAUUGCUAGAGUAAUAUUGUUGUUCAGGCGUAUACAAAAGUUCCAUGUUUGAGUAACAAUCAGUCGAAUGUCUAUGUUUAUGUUGGAUAUGAUUUAAUCGCCACCAGUAUAUCACAUCUUCCAGACUCAUGCGCCUUCAUUUCAAAGGUUCCUGUAGUACUUAAUAUGAGCGUGGACAAACUUUCUUAUGAAGACCUCUGAAAAUCGCUGGAGUCAGGGUUCGAUCUUACGUGGUCAGAUUCGAGCUUGAGCCUCUCAAUGCCUCUCUGUAAGCUUAUGCUUAUAUUUAUUUAUGCAUUCAAAUGCAAGGGCUUUGUUUUUGCUUUUCAAUACUGUACGUAAUAAAGAAUUUGUGAACUAUCUCUAUGAGCAUACCGAUAUGACCUUUAAUUUCUGUUUCUUUCCACUUUUGCAACAGAUUGCAUCCUCAAUGCAGGAGUAGUGGCAAAGAUAAAUUGCCUCUUAUAUUUUAUACGUAAGCAUAUCCUUAUAUAUCUUUUUGAUCAUGUGUUUUCGACGUUAAUAAAUGCGAUGGCUUCAUAUAUUCUCUAAUCUUUUACUGUAUAAUUUUUUUCUGAAUCAUCUCUCUGAUUAGGUAUAAAGCUUAUUUAUUUUUUUCCCCCCUCUCCAAUUGUAGUUUACAGUGUAAUUUAUGGGAUAAUUUCUCUGUUAGGUAAAAUCUCCUCUCCAGGAUCCUCUUUUAUUGCUUUGCUUACUACUAUUUACUUUCAAUAAACGUUCUCUUUACCAGGGUUUCCAGUUGAUGUUCUGAUAAUUGGUAGAUUUAUUCUUGCUCCAAUAGUCUUUCUCGUGUUCCUUAUCCACAAAUACAGAACGACAUUGCAAACAGUUGAUAAUAUUGAGAAAUUUCUGCACAACCAUCAAUCGUGGAUGCCUAAAAGGUACUCUUACCCUGAGAUAAUUGCCGUGACAAACCACUUCUUUCAUAAAUUAGGCCAAGGUGGCUUUGGUUCCGUUUAUAAAGGACAGCUUCAUACCGGUCGCUUGAUUGCUGUUAAAAUGCUGGAGAACUCCAAGUUCAGUGCAAAGGAAUUCAUCAAUGAAGUUUCAACAAUAGGUAUAAUUCACCACGUUAAUGUGGUCCAGUUAUUAGGGUUCUGUUCUGAGGGAUCCAAACGCGCACUUGUCUACGAGUUUAUGCCUAAUGGAUCACUCGAUAGGCAUAUCUUUCCUAAGGAAAGUAGAGGCCAAUCUUGUAGUUGGGAGAAACUCCACGAAGUUGCUUCAGGAACUGCCCGUGGGAUCGAGUAUUUACACAACGGAUGUGAUGUCUGCAUUCUUCAUUUCGACAUUAAGCCUCACAACAUCCUGCUAGAUCAUAAUUUCAUCCCAAAGGUCUCAGAUUUCGGCCUUGCAAAGUUUCAUCCCAAGGAAAAUGAUUUUGUGUCCAUCAGUGCCACAAGAGGAACCAUAGGAUACAUAGCACCUGAGCUGAUUUCAAGGAAUUUUGGAACUAUUUCUUGCAAGUCAGAUGUUUACGGUUUUGGGAUGGUGUUGCUGGAAAUGGCUGGAGGAAGAAGGAAUUCUAAUAUGAAAGCAACUCAUUCAAGCAAAGCAUAUUUCCCAUCUUGGGUAUAUGACCAAUUAAAUAAGGGAGGUGAUUUAGAGCUUCGGAAUGUGACUGAAAUCGAGUCCAUGAUUGCAAGGAAACUGUGUGUGUGAUUGGUUUAAGGUGUAUUCAGGUGAAGCCAGCUGAUCGCCCUUCCAUGACAAAAGUUUUGGAAAUGUUAGAAGGGAGUAUCGACGAUUUGCAAAUGCCUCCGAAACCUUUCUUCUCUUCUUCUCGACAUAUCUCCGGAAGAGAGAUUGAAUCAGAUUCUUCAACAGAGUUGUUAGUGUCUGAAUCGAUUGAGGAAUGUUCUUUCAAUGAUAGUUAUGCUUAGUUUUGGCAAUGAUAUAUGUAAAAAAGAAAUAAAUUGUCCUUAUGCUACCAGAGCUUCUAUAAUAUUAUGUUGAAAAUUUUCAGUACGAUUCAUUGUUCGAUGUGAAUAUUUCAAUUUUGCUCAUAUCGACUAGAAUAUGAUGUACGUUUGUCAUGUGAUAAUGUACAUUUGUCAAACUAUUGAAACGCUGCUUGCUGCAUAUCUGAUCGAGCUAGUGUAUGCUUUGAACUCUCUGCUCCUGCUCAACGUAAUUUAAAGUACAAUUACUAAAGUAAAUGGCAGACAUCUAAAUAUCACCACGCAUCCACUUUUACUUAAUAGCUACUAAUUCCAUCUCACAAUAGUGGUGAAUUAAAAGGCACAUAGUUCCCAUCAGUACUAAACACACCCUUAUUCUCACACUGAUUUAUCAUGGUAAGCGGAGGGUAGCUGCUAGGAAUUACCCGUUUUUAAAGAACAACAUUACUUACUGAUCUUAAAAACAUAAUUUUCUCAUUUCUUUACCUAAAAAUUACUUUCCCAACUCUCACUAAAAUCUAUAUCACAAACAACAAGUCUCAUCCUGUUCCUGCAUGCAUCUGAUAUUGACAGAUUUUGAAGUUGACUAGUCUCUUUGGGGCUACCAUUGACUUAGAAAAAGGAGAAAAGAAAUAAGGAAAGAACAGAAGCAAUUAAAAGAAACCCAUUUUCCUACCUUUUUCCAUGACAAAUUGACAAUCAAAUUCUGCUCUCCCUCAUUACUCCAAAAGCAUAACUCAAAAUCCGCUCUCCCUCUCCUUUCAUGUCCCUCGUGAUGAGUUUAAUAAUCCUCUUCCUCUUCUUACCUAACACAUGUACAUUAGCCAAAGCUUCUGCGAAGACAAGAAGACAGAUAAAUAUGAAUUCUGUCAACCAACAAAUUGUAGUAAUAGUAGCCCAAGUAUCAGAUAUCCCUUCAGACUCAAAACUCAACCAACAUCUUGUGGCCUUGAAGGGUUUGAAUUGUCAUGCUUAAGUGACAAGACAAUCUGGCAUCUUCCUUCCUCCCAAGAUUAUUAUAUCCAAGAAAUUUCUUAUCUGGACAGCAGUAUUACCAUUACAGAUGUGAAUGAGAUGGCAUGCCAGUUUCAAUUUCUUAUCUCUUUCAACCUCACACACUCCAAAUUCUGUUUUCUUCCCUUUAACAAAAGUUACGCUUUAUGUAACUGCACUUCGAAGGUUGCUGUAGAAUUAGAACGGACUUCUGUUGAACUAAUUGCACCGAUCAAUUGUCUUAGCAAUGAAAACAAUUAUGUGUAUGCCAUAUAUAGCGAAUAUUCAAUGGAGUAUAUGCCUCCAUCCUGCAGAAAAUCUCGAACAGUUCAGAUUCCUGCUGGAUUACCUUUCCAGGAUGUUGCUACGACGGCGAGGGCAACUCCAGUACUCUUAAGAUGGGAAGCUCUUGAUGGAUGCUACUGUUGAAAAGUCAGAAGCAAAUGCCAACUUUGCAACUGUUAGUAUGAAGGCUUUGUAGAAGCAAAAUCCAAUUCGGUUUUUGUUAGCCGAAAAGAAAGAAUGGAAAAAGGGGAUGUAUUGAAAAUAAUAAUAAUAAUUUAUUAUAUUUUUAAUUAUUUUAUUCUUUGCAUAGUGCCAACAUUUUUCCUAUAAAUAGCUAAGGAUUUCAUUCAUUUGAAAUCAUCCCAGAAUUGUUAAGCUUAUAAGUUUCUAAGCUUUUGAGAGAAGUGAGAGAAGUGUGUCUGGGGAAUUUAUCUUUCCUGCAGAGUAUGAGAGUACUGGGUAUAUUUGGGUUUCUGGGAAGUAAGAUUCGUUACUCAAAUAUUGUAUUAUAUUAAUUGUUUAAUAAGCAAUUAUUCUUUCUUACCUCCGUGGAUGUAGGUUUAAUUACCGAACCACGUAAAUUCUUGUGUCCUUUAUUUUUCAGUAAUUAUUUGGUGUGCUUGAUUCCGCAUUCCGCGCACAACAAGUGGUAUCAGAACCGAAGGUUCGUACUUUGGGGGAUACAAUACUGUUCAUGUAUACGGUAUUAUAUUUGUAUAUAGUACUAUUCAGUAUACGGUUACAUAUAUGGUAUUAUUCCUGUAUAGUACUAUUCACGUAUACGGUACUAUUCCCGUAUACGGUACUAUUCCCGUAUACGGUACUAUUCACGAAUACGGUGGAGACGGCCAUUUGUACUUGGGAGACAGUCUAUUGUAAGUAGUGUGUAUUUUUACAUGUCUAGGAAAGUUCUGUCAAAAAGGCGAUAAGAGUCUAAGGAUUCUGAUUUUUAAUUGGGACCGGGUUCCCGUCCAGUUUCUUGGGAACUUUCCUGGUGCAUUUAUUCACGCGAAAUUAACAUCAUAGAUACUGUUUUUCAAGUAGAAAUAGUUCGUUGAGAAAAUGGUAGAAGGUGAAACUUCCAGAAGUGGGGAGAGAUCUACCGAGACUAUUUCAGGAGACACUUCAGGUGGGAGGCGAGAUUUUUCAAAUCGCUAUUCAGCACCUAUUAUAGGAGGCCAGAAGAUCGAUGUUGAAAAGUUUGAUGGGAAAAUCAACUUCAGCAUGUGGAGGCGCGAAGUUAUGGAUGCCCUUAUUCAAAUCGAUCUCGAUGUUGUUUUGAAAAAUAAAAGACACUUGUAUGAUGAAGAAAUUUGGGAUCGUAUGAAUGAGAAAGCAUGUGGUCAGAUCAGAUCUUGUUUGACCAAGGAGGUGAAAUACUUGGUGAAAGAUGAGGAGUGUGCAGUGACUUUGUGGCGUACAUUGGAAGAGAAGUACCUGGUGAAAAGUCCUGAAAAUCGUCUUCAUGCUAUGAGCCAAGUAUAUGGCUUUCGAAUGAAGUCUGGGGUGUCAAUGCACGAUCAUGUUUCAAGAUUUGAAAAGUUACUUGCUGAUUUGAAGAAUCUUGAUGAAGAUAUUAAAGAUGAAGUCAAGGCUAUGAUUCUGUUACACUCACUACCAGAGGAAUAUAGCCAUUUUGUGACUACUUUGAUAUAUGGGAAGAGUGUGAUCGUCUUCAAAGAUGUUUGCACAGCAUUGACUAGUUUGGAGAUUCGGAAUAAUGAUAAAAAUUCUGAACGAGCAUCGUCUGAAACUUUGGUGAGCAGAGAUUGGGCGAUGGAGAAAAAGAAGAAGCGUGGUGGAAAGAAUUCUCGAUCCAAAUCGAGAAGCAGAAAUAUAGCUCGAGAUGAGUGUGCCUUUUGUCAUGAAAAGGGCCAUUGGAGAAAAGAUUGUCCAAAGGCUCAAAAGAGAGAUGGGAAGAAACCAGCAGCAGCAAACAUGGCACGGAAAGAUGAGGAUUCUGAUUAUUCACUAAGUAUCACUCCUGCAGCAUGUGUGGCUAGUUCGAGCGAGUGGAUACUUGAUACUGGAGCAACCUAUCAUUUGUGUCCUAUUAAGGAAUGGUUUGCAGAUUUUCGUAAUCUGGAAUCCGGUGCAGUUGUGAUGGGGAAUGAUAAACCUUGUCGCACAAUGGGGAUAGGAAUAAUUCGGCUCAAAAUGUUUGAUAGAAUGGUCAGAGAACUCAAAGAGGUUAGAUUUGUUCCAGAGAUAAAGAAAAAUCUAAUUUCUGUGGGUGCUUUGGAAGCUAAAGGCUACAAGGUUACCAUUGAAGAUGGCACAAUGAAGUUUACACAUGGGGCUAUGGUGAUUCUGCAAGGGGUUCGGCGUCACAAUCUGUACUAUUUGAAGGGAGGUACAACUGAUGAAGCAAAUAUUUUUUAGGCGCACAGUGACACCACCAAGCUAUGGCAUGUACGACUGGGACAUGUAGGAGAGAAGUUUUUGCAAACUCUGAUGAGGCAUGGACUCUUAAAAGGUACCAAAACCUGUAAAUUAAAUUUCUGUGAGCAUUGUGUAGUAGGCAAGAAAACAAUGGUCAAGUUUGGUACAGCUAAUCACGAUACUCGUGAGAUCCUUGAAUAUGUUCAUAGUGAUGUAUGGGGACCAACCAAGACUGCAUCAAUUGGUGGAAGCCAUUAUUUUGUUAUACUUGUUGAUGAUUUCUCUAGACGUGUAUGGGUGUACACCAUGCGAGCAAAGGAUGAGGUUCUAGAGAUUUUCGUGAAAUGGAAGAAAUUGGUGGAGACUCAAACUGGCAGAAAGAUCAAAGUAUUACGAUCUGAUAAUGAGGGUGAAUAUACUUCUGAUCCAUUCUUGCAAGUAUGCCAGAAUGAGGGUAUUAAAAGACAUUUCACGGUGAGACAUACUCCGCAACAGAACGGUGUGGCUGAGCGUAUGAAUCGUACUUUACUAGAGAAGGUACGGUGUAUGUUAUCUAAUGCUGGUUUAGAUAAAAAGUUUUGGGCUGAAGCUGUGAGCUACGCAAGUCACUUGGUAAAUCGGUUGCCUUCUGCUGCAAUUGGAGGUAAAACUCCUAUGGAAAUAUGGUCUGGAAAGUAUGCACAAGACUAUGAUUCCCUUCGUGUAUUCGGGUGUCCAGCUUAUUAUCAUGUCAAAGAUGGUAAACUGGAUCCUCGUGCUAGAAAAGCUAUCUUUGUGGGAUUCAAAGGUAGAGUAAAGGGCUUCAAGCUUUGGGAUCUCGAAGACAAAAAAUUUGUGUGCAGUAGAGAUGUCACAUUUGAUGAAGCUUCAAUGAUAAAAGCUUCAAGUUCUCAGCAGGUGGAGAACAAGACCACAGAGGUAUUGCAGCGGGUGGAGUUUGAUGUAACUCCAUAUGUACCAAUUAGCUCUACAUCAAUGAAUGGUUCAACUAUGGAGUUGACACCUAGAGUUGAAGAAGAGAUUGUUUCUUCUGAUGUCCCACAAAAUGAAGAAACAAUUGAUGAUGUAGAUAAUGAUGAUUUUAUAGCAACAAGGAGGCCAAGAAGAGAGAUAAAGAAACUCGGAUGGCUUACUAAAGAUAUGGUGGUAGCCUAUGCACUUCCAGUUAUUGAUGAUGACAUCCCCAACACUUUCGGUGAAGCAUUACGCAGCAGUGAAAGUGAUCAGUGGAAGCUAGUCAUGGAGGAAGAGAUGAAAUCUCUCCAUCAAAACCAGACUUGGGAACUUGUAAAGUUACCAAAGGGGAAAAGGACUAUUGGCAAUAAAUGGGUCUACACCAAAAAGCAAGGAUCUCCGAAUCAAGCAACUCCUCGAUACAAGGCAAGGCUCGGGGCAAAAGGUUUUGUUCAAAAGGAAGGUAUUGACUACAAUGAAGUUUUCUCUCCAGUUGUAAAAUAUACUUCCAUUCGUAUCCUACUUGCCUUAGUUACAGAGUAUGAGUUAGAGUUGGCUCAGUUGGAUGUUAAGACGGCGUUCUUACAUGGAGAUUUGGAGGAGGAAAUCUAUAUGACUCAGCCUUGUGGUUUCAAAGUUGCUGGAAAAGGAAAAUCGUGUGUACAGAUUGAGUAAAUCUUUAUACGGAUUAUUAUGAACUACGGUUGGCUUGAUCCCAAAUUUUGAGUACGUAGGCAGUCGGAUAGAUGCAGCCAAUGUGGAUCCUUUUGAGGAUCAUGUGAGGGAUGAAGUUUGGCGGAUCAUUGUCAAUCGGCUCAGAUUUGGAUAAAUUUUCGCCGAGGUGGAGAAUUGUUGAAAAGUCAGAAGCAAAUGCCAACUUUGUAACUGUUAGCAUGAAGGCUUUGGAGAAGCAAAAUCCAAUUCGGUUUUUGUUAGCCGAAAAGAAAGAAUGGAAAAAGGGGAUGUAUUGAAAAUAAUAAUUAUUAUUUAUUAUAUUUUCAAUUAUUUUAUUCUUUGCAUAGUGCCAACAUUUUUCCUAUAAAUAGCUAAGGAUUUCAUUCAUUUGAAAUCAUCCCAUAAUUGUUAAGCUUAUAAGUUUCUAAACUUUUGAGAGAAGUGAGAGAAGUGUGUCUGGGGAAUUUAUCUUUCUUGCAGAGUGUGAAAGUACUGAGUAUAUUUGGCUUUCUAGGAAGUGAGAUUCGUUACUCAAAUAUUGUAUUCUAUUAAUUGUUUAAUAAACAAUUAUUCUUUCUUGCCUCCGUGGAUGUAGGUUUAAUUACCGAACCACGUAAAUUCUUGUGUCCUUUAUUUUUCAAUAAUUAUUUGGUGCGCUUGAUUCCGCAUUCCGCGUACAACAGCUACGACUGCGAAAAUUCAGGGAAUUAUUGUGGGUUCAACACUACAAGCAAUUCGAGAAUCUGCGUUUAUUGUGGGUUCAAUACUACAAGCAAUUCGACAAUCUGCGUUGCCGUUAAACACCAAAAACGUAAGUAGCCAUACUUUUCCUCAGUCACCUCUCUCUACAGUGCUUGAAAGUGAAAGCAUCGUCUCUAUUUAGCUAACAAUAAAAAUAAUAAGUUGAAUUUAUUAUCAUUGUUUUAUACGCCGGAAAAGUGAUCAGAGCAGUAUAAAUGAAAAAAAUAAUAAUAAUAAUUAGGCCUUGCAUUAUUUUUUUCGAUUGUAAAAGUGUAAGUACAAUUGCUAGAAAGUUAAAAAUUAAAGAAGCCAUCUAUAUUAAUAGGGGUGGGCACUGAGCAAAGGUUAGAUAUAGUUGAAUUCCGAUGGUCAGUUUUUCAAAAAAAUAAUAAUUUGAACUGAACUGAAAGUCCAAUCAAUUUGGUUCGAUUUAGUUAGUUUUUUUUCUUAAUUUGCCCUGUAAUUUCUUUUGCGUUUUUCUAGUUUUUUUGAAAUUUUAUUUUCUCUCAUGUAAAUCGAUGGAUUUUUUUUUAUUAAAAAAAAACUGACGAUUCCUUUUUUUGGCGGCAAAUAUAAUUUUACCCACCCCUAAUCUGUAUGGCGAAUAUCAUUGCUAUAAAGGCUGAUUUGACUGUUUGAACAAAAACUGAUACUACUCAGGACCAAAUAGAUAGUACUAUUUUUCUGUACCCCGUCAAUUUAAUCUUGAAUACAUUACAAUUAAUUUUGUUAAUGGUGAGAGAUUGAUUAAACUUACAAUGCCUGAUAAAAGUUUAAUCUAUUAUAUUUUCUUGCGUCCUCAAUGAAUACAAAUUAAGCAGAAUUAUUAUACUAAUACUUUUUCUCUAUGAUUGUCUUUGUCAACUUUUUAUGUAAGAGCCAAUAUACGUUCAUGAUGGCAAAUUUGUUGAGAAAAAAAUUUUGUUUAAUCAAGUGACCCUCAAUAUUCACAUGGAAUAAGAGACGAGGGAAAAAAAAAAUCAUUUUGUGAAUGCAGAAAGGCAAAAGAAAAAGCAUAAUGACAGGGAUUUCUAAUUGUGAUCAUUUUGGUGUUUUCACUGUGUACUUGAGUAAAAGUUAAAAUUUUAAAUUGAAGUGUGCAAGGUAAAAGAAUGCUUAUUUUGCAGUUCAACUAAUUUCAUCUUCUGCUUAUUAGUAUUUUUUCAUUAUUUAGUUAAAUGACAACCUAAUUAUCUCUCCACCCAUGUGAAUAUGAUAUCUAAUCAUCAUUUAAGUUAUGGACAAAUACCUAUAUGAGAUGGUCACAUGAGAGGGACUUGUUAAAACCCAAUCAAAUAAUAUUGAGUCUUUGUGCUACCAAGUUAAGCUUGCACGGGUCCAAACUUUUAGCAUCUCAUUUUAUUGUUUGAGUAGAUUUUUUAACUAACUUUCAGCAUCUCAUUUUAUUGUAACAGAUAGUCCUGGCCCUUUUAUCUAUAAGUAUAAUAUCCACAAGCACAAGCAUUGGAGGCAUCACCCUCUUUGCAUUAGUGAUAUUUCUCAUUUACAGAUCAAGAGAAUCUGAAAAAGAAAAAGAGACUCAACUAAAGGUGGAGAAGUUCCUCGAAAACUACAGGACAGUCAAUCCCACCAGAUAUACUUACAAAGAACUGAAGAAAAUAACAAGCAGAUUUAAGCACAGGCUCGGUCAGGGAGGUUACGGAAGCGUGUUCAGAGGAAAGCUCUUCAACAGAAUUCCAGUUGCUGUCAAGAUGUUGGAACAUUUAAAAGGAAAUGGACAAGAGUUCAUCAAUGAAGUGGCCACAAUUGGCAGGAUUCACCACUUCCACAUUGUUCGGCUUCUGGGAUUUUGCUCUGAAGGAAACAGGCGUGCUCUUAUUUUCGAGUUUAUGCCCAAUGGAUCACUUGAGAAAUUCAUCUUCUCAAAGACAAAUAGCUCAAGUCAUCGUCAAUUGAGUUGGGAGAAGCUGAGGAAGAUUGCAUUUGGCGUUGCCCGUGGAGUGGAGUGGAGUACUUGCACCAAGGAUGCAACCAGAGGAUCCUGCACUUCGAAAUCAAGCCUCACAAUUUAUUAUUAGACCAUAAUUUUCAACCGAAGAUUUCAGAUUUUGGACUGGCUAAGUUGUGCUCAAAGGACAUAAGCAUUGUAUCUCUGACAGCUGCCAGAGGCACUUCUGGCUACAUUGCACCUGAACUUUUCUCCAGGAAUUUUGGUGAGAUCUCUUACAAGUCUGAUGUUUACAGUUACGGAAUGAUGCUGUUAGAGAUGGUCGGAUGCAGAAAAAAUAAUGAUCCUGCGGUUGAAAUUCAGAGCCAAAUAUAUUUUCCGGAGUGGAUUUACAAUAGAAUGAGGCAAGGACAAAAGCUCUGUUUGGAUUUUGAGGAAGAUGGGGAUGAGGGAAUUGCCAGAAAGCUUGCAAUUGUGGCACUUUGGUGCAUUCAAUGGAAUCGCACGGAGAGACCUUCCAUACCAAUUGUAUUACAAAUGCUUGAAGCUGAUUUACAAAGCUUGGAGAUCCCUCCAAUGCCCUUUGUCUCUGCUGAUGUUGAGGCAGGUGCAAUCAAUUGAUCUAGAUAGCAGAAGAUUACAAUUAAAAAGGGAUAUUGUUAAUUUAUUUCAAAUUUUCCCCGAUUAUAAGCUAAAUUAUUUAGUCCUUGUUUUUGGAACGCUUGAAAACCACUAAAUUGAGUUUUUGUUUGAUUGUGGCUGUUUUAUUUAUCGCUUAAAAUCUUUGAUGUGUUCGAGUGAUACAACAUUAAUACAACUAUGGAUGAAUUUUUUCAAUUUAUAAUAUUAUUGAGGAAAAAAGAUAAUUAUACCCUUAAGGUGUGAGAAAAUAAUUACAAAAACUCUCAAGUUUUUAAAAUGAGACAUCAAGACCAUUUUUAAUCGUAAUACCCUUUUAAUUUAUUAAUUAGGAAAUUGACUUUGAAGUUUUUUAUUUAAUUAAAAUUUAAUAUAAAUAAUAUAAUCUAUCUAGUAAACUAAUAAUAUUAAAUUAUUUUUGACAUUUAAAAUAAUAUAAAAAUUUAAAUUAUUAUAUUUAUUUUAAUAAUAGAUUUGUAUUUGUUAUAAAGAUUUUAAAUAAAGUCUUUGGGUUGAAUUUUACAAUUAACAAAAUAUAUCCCUUUUAAUAAUAUUAAAAUUAUUUUUACAUAAUAUUCAAAAUAAUUUUGAUUUUAAUUAAUUAAUUUUAAUAUUAUAUUUCUAUUUAUUUUAAAAAUUACUUCAAUAUAAUAAAAUAAGUCAAAUAGAUUGUAAAAUAUAAAAAUAUAUUUUUAGAUAUUUUUCAAAUGUAUAUAUUAUUACAUUUAUUUUAAUGUCAUAUUUCUAUAGAUUAUAAAAUUUUAGAGUAAAUUUUUAGAUUUAUAGAGUUAAAGGGUAUUAUAGCAACAACAAAAAAAUAACCUUGUUGUCUUUUAUUGAAGACUUGGGAGUUUUUAUAAUUAUUUUUUCAAACAUUAGAGUGUAGGUGUCUUUUUUGCUAUUAUUUAUUAUACCCCGCUAUCCUUCCCUACUAAAAUCAAUACUACCUAAUUGCUGAUGAAUCUUUUGAUUAAUCAUUUAGUUUCAGAUAAGCAACGAAGUGAGACUUCAAAAGUUUUCCAAAAUGUGCACCGUCGUCUCUGAUUAUGAAGUAGGCCCUUAGAAAUUUCAACUUGUAAAGUAGAUGAUUAUUAGGAACUAUACUGCUAAAUCUUAUUCCAUUUAUGGCAGAUUACAUACCAAAUGAAACACAACAGAGUUCAUUAUAGUGGCACAAAAUUAAUAUAAAAACAUUUUAUAGAGAGGAAACCUCUGCACCUAUGAUACCUUCCCAUGCAAGCACAGGGUGCAUAAAGCAUACAAAAACUUUAGUCUAUUUUUAAACACAUCAUUGAAAAAAAAUAAAGCAUAACUAUCGCUGAAAGAGCAUUCCUUUAUUGAUAGACUUAUAGUUCCCAAGGAGAGUAGUUGGCAGAAACUCCAUGAGCUAGGUUGCUUUAGAAAAGGCUCGCGGGAUCGAGUAUUUACAGAACGGAUGUGAUGUGUGCAGUCUUCAUUUCAACAUUUAAGUCUCACAACAUCCUGCUAGAUCCUAAUUCCUUUCCGAAGGUCUCAGAUUUCGGCCCUUGCAACAUUUCACCCCAAGGAAAAUGAUUUUGCUCCCAUCAGCGCCAUAGGAAGAACAAUAUAUAGGUUAAAAUAUUACCUGAGCUAUGACUAAGGCGUUGAUCGCUCCUCUGUGACAAAAAGUUUUGGAAAUUUUAGAAGGGAGUAUUGACGAUUUGCAAAUGCCUCCAAAACCUUUCUCAUCUUCUUCUCGACAUAUAUCCGGAAGAGAGAUUGAAUCAGAUUCUUCAACAUAGUUGUUAAUGUCUGAAUCAGUGAAGGAAUGAUCUUUCGGUAAUAUUUAGGUUUAAUUUUGCCAAUGAUGAAUGUAAAAUAAAUAAAUGAAUAACAUGCAAUUAAUGACAAAUGUUCUUCUUCUUCUCAUUGGUUUAUCUCGAAUUGGAGCCUAAGGCACACACUACGCUUUUCGCAAGUGAUAGAUAAUUUAGUUGUCGAAAUCUUUUGAGUUGAUACAAAAAGUUUGAGAUUUGAAUCUGUCCAUAUGGGUGGCAAAAGAAUUUAACUAGAGGUGUGCUAGGCUUAACUUAAAACUCUGAGGUGGCCACUUGAGCUUGUAGCCAAGUGGUGAACCAUUACCCUUAAAGUUAAGCAUGACUAUAAGGGCAAUAGUUCGAGUCUUCACGAACUCAAAAACUCUCUCAAUUAAGCAUAAUUGUGUGGAGAUUACUUAUAACGUCUUUCUCCCUUGCGAAAUGCGAGUGGAGUAAAGGCAUCCCUCCCUCGUGAGGGGUAUUUGGCUGGACAUGUACUUCAUAGAAUAAAAAAUAUAAUAAUAUAAGUCUCAGGUAUAUAAUGACCUGUUGUCAUAGCAGUUGUAAAUAUCUAUAUGUAAUAAAGUAACAUGAUAUUUAAUGAGUUCAAAAAAAAAAAAACUCUGAGGUGGAAAUUUUCUUCAUUAUUUUACCCCCACAUUGAAAAGUAAUCACAAAAAAUCAUGUCAAUGGCUUCAUUUAGCCUAUUCUUUAUUAUUGUUUUCUGCAAAUGUCAUGGAGGACUACUCUCUUGUGGGGUUGCCAUUGACUUAAAUAAAAUGGUUUUAAGCCAUACAAAAAUGAAUGGCUAUCUUUAAUAUUACACUAAAAAACAUCUCUCUUUCUCUGUUAAUCCAUGUCACUUUUUCUGAGUUCAAUAAUCUUAUUCCUUCUCUUCCUUACACAGAAGCCAAAACUUCUGAAGGAAACAGCAAUACAAAUAUUUAUGAACGUUGUCAACCAAUAAAAUGAAACAUACCAUAUCAGAUUCCCCCUUUAGAAUCAAAUUUAAAUGAUUAAGAUUGCUGAUUAUAACACAGACCCUACUAAGUUUAAUAAAUGAUUACAAUUUACACACGCACUCUUUAUAUUAUUUACCCUUUAUUUGAACAACUAGAUGUACUUUAUAAUAACUACUAAUAUAACAUUGAAACAAAAACAAAUGUAAUAAAUAAAAUUAUCAUAUAUUUUAUAUAUCAAAGCAUGUUCUGUGUUCUCAUAAAAAAAAAUGAAUUAUUGUCUUCGAGUUUGUGGUGAGAAAUUAAAGUAGCGAGCGAAAGAUGUUGACUGGAUUGUUUCAUGCGUGGAAAUUGUUACAAAAUUUUUGUCUCAAUUUGAAGGUUUACUACGAAAUUUCAGGUCAAGCUAGGGUCAUCAUCACCGACGCAAACUUGCAAUCAAAACGUUUACUAAGAGUUGACUGACUUGUAAGAGUGUCCGGUGUCCCCUCUCGCAUGGAUGCUAAAAGUCUUGCGCUCAAACAAAUUCAAUUAAUAUGCUCUUUUAAACCUUUUCAAUUUCCCCACCUUUGUUUAUUAUUUUUUUAAAAAAUAAGAUAAUACUACUUUUGAACGAUUAAUUAUUGCUAUAUCAUCUUCAGCUAGUAGAAUCAGAUAGUUGAAUGCUAUAAUAAAUUUACUAUAUACACGUGCUCGUUGUUAAGUAAUGAUGUAAACACGUAUCCAAAACUUUGAAAAUGCAACCUUCUGUUUAAUUUACUGAAAUUCAUUGUAUCCUAUAAAUUUUCCAUCUUUUUUGUUUUCUUUCUCUCGCUCUGCCCUCUUUUUUUUUUUUUUUUUGGGUGUUUAUAAUAAUUGGGUUCUGUUGUAUAAACACUACUUCCUCAUAUUAUGAUAUAUUUGAGACCUAGGAGUAAAUUAAAAUUAAAAAAAGAAACAAUUAAUUGAGAAGGAUUGAUUACUUUUGAUAAAUAGAUAAAAAGUGAUUAGUGGAUAAUAUAAUUUGGUUCAUUGAAGUAGUUAAAGAUUUAAAAUUCGUUUUUAAUUAAUUAAGUGCUGCUGAAAUUAAAUUAUAAUUAUUUGUUUAUAAUAAAUCUGUAAAAAAGUGCAAAAGUGCACAAACGAAAAAAGUACUCGAAUUUGUAAUAAAUGCUUUUGAUUCCAACGAGUUGCGGAGGGCACGUUACAAAAUAAGGUUUUUAAUUUAAAAAAGUGAAUUUUAGUCAAAAGUAGGGGUGGGCACGAUUCGGUUCGGUUCGGUUCGGUUCGAAAUUAAGUAGAACCGAUUUAAUUCGGUUAUUUUAUAAAAAGAACCGAAUAAGAACCGAACUAAAAAAGAACCGAACUCAAACGGUUCUUUUCGGUUCGGUUUGGUUCGGUUCGGUUUUUUCGAUUCUUUUCAUUAUAAAUAUUAACAAUAAAUACAAAGUAUUCAAAACACAUUUUAUCACUAAUAUCUUACUAACUAUUAAUAAAUAAUUAAAUAAACAAUCUAUAUGAUAAGAAGCUAGUUUAAAAAAAAAGAAAACUUAUUGGUAAGCAACAUCAAUCAACUAUCAUUUACUCCUCAGCUACUUGCUGUUGUUCUUGAGAUUGCAUUGGCCUCAAAAAUUCUUCAAGAAAUUGAAACAAUUAUAUUAAAAUAAUUAAUUCUAAUAUACAAAAUGUUAUAAGUUAAAUAGAAAAAAAUAACAUAAUAAAUUACAAUAUUACCUGUUUCAACUAAUUCAUAGAAUUCAGCUUCUUCUUGACUUGGUUGUAUUGUACGCUCUCCUAAUAGAGUUGAGCGAAGCCAAUUUUGAGUGCAUAUUAAUGACUCGACUGUUUUAUGAGUUAAAGAACUCCUAAAAGGAUCGAGAAUGCGCCCUCCUGUGCUAAUUGCUGAUUCAGAAGCCACAGUAGACACCGGAAUUGCCAAAACAUCUUUGGCAAUUUGAGAUAAAAUAGGAUACCGAGGCCCAUUCAAUUUCCACCAAGUCAAAAUAUCAAACUGGGAAUUACUAGCACUCUCACAAGUCUCUGACAAGUACUUUUCAACAUCAUUUUUUCCACUCAUAUCAUCAUUUGAACUUUCUUUCAUCUUUUUAAAUUGUGUAAAAGGAUCAAAUGACUCAAUAUUACUACUAGCACCAUCAUGAACAACCAUACAUCUCUCACCUCUAUUUGGGUUACUCUCACCACCAUAGCUUUCAAGAAGCUUCAACAACAACUCUUUAAUAUUAGCUCUCAAUUCAUCAACCUUUCUAAUAUCAUACAAGCUACUAAAACACCAUAUAACAAAGUCAAGUUUGCAGCGAGGAUCAAGCACAUUUGCCACAAUCAACAACAUGUUAACCUUUUCAAAAAAAUGACCCCAAUACUUGACAAAAUUUUCCUCCAUCUUGUAACCCAUUUGAUUUAACAAAAAAUCAUUAGAAUCAACAAGUGACUUCAAAUGAAUAUAAACUUUCCACAUUUCAUUCAAGAAAUUAUUGGAAGUGACUGUUAAAGAGCUGCUGAAUUUUAAAGUCACAUGAUAAAAAAUCGAAAGACACUUGACUAACCUCUUUGCAUUUUCCCAAUCCUUAUCAAUUGGUGGCCCCACCCUCCUUUUUUCACUCUCAUCCUCAUCAAACCAGUUUGUAUAAUGGCCAUCAUCUUCCUUUAGCCUCUCAAAUGCUUUCUCAAAUGCUACCGCUUUUUCUAACAUCAAAUAUGUUGAAUUCCACCGAGUCGGCACGUCUAAUACCAUAAGCCCCCCACGUGAGAUUUUCUCCCUAUCAACACAUGUUUUGAACUUUUGUAAUCUUGCCGGAGAUGAUCUAACAUAUUUCACCGCAUUUCGGAUACUAGCUAUUGAUUGACUCACUUGUGACAACCCAUCUUGCACAAUUAAGUUGAUUAUAUGCGCUGAACACCUCACAUGCAUAUAUAAACCAUUCAAAACCAUCGAAUUUCCACUCCAAUUUGCCAACUUCUUCUUCACAUAAGCUAUUGCAAGUGUAUUAGCACUUGCAUUAUCCACUGUAAUUGUGAACAACUUCUCAAUCCCCCAAUCAAUCAAACAAUUUUCAAUUAACUUCCCAAUGCCAUCUCCUUUGUGAUUAGAAAUAGGUGUGAAAGUGAGAAUCCUCUUGUGCAAAACCCACUCUUCAUCAAUAAAGUGAGCUGUAACUACCAUAAAGUUUGACAUUUGAAUUGAAGUCCAUGUGUCUGUGGUAAUGCAUACUCUCUGUUUAUUUGCACUCAAAAUACUUUUCAGCAGCCCCUUUUCAUUUUGAUACAAUUCAAGAAUAUCCCUUGUAAUUGUUCUUCGAGAUGGUACCUCAAAUUUCGGACAACAAGUUUCCAUGAACUCCAAAAACCCUUCAGCCUCUACAAAUUUAAAAGGUAACUCAUCUUUAAUUAUCAUUCUCACAAGUGCCAUUCUACAAGCCUCUCUAUUAAAUCCUAUGUGUAUAACCUUAGCAGUACCAUCAUCUUUACCUUUACCCUUUUUACAAACUAAUGUCUGUUGUUUUGCAUCAUUUGCAGCCUUCAUUUUUUUGCGCACUUUACAUCUAUCCAAAUGAGUCGACAAACCACUUGUUCUAGAAUUACUAUGGGCUGCAUAACUUUUUCCGCAAUAAUGACACUUAGCUCUAAGUCCUCCAGGUAGCUUCGAAAAAUGCUUCCACACAAAUGAUCUCAACUCAAUUUUUCUUUUUUUACUACCACUGACCUCUUCUUCACUAUUAACUUGUUGCACUUCAUCACUAAUUUGUACUUCACCAACGUUGUCAACCAUUCUAUAAAAUUAGAACAAUUAUAAUGUCAAAAUAAAAUUUAAAUAAGUAAAUAUAGCCACUGUCCAACAUACAAUCAGUAGCCAUUUUAUAAACAUAAUUAGCAGUUAUAUAUUGUAAAUCAUGCAAUUUAUAUCUACACGGUAAUAGACAUUAAAACAACCGGAGGAAAAUGAAAUUAAAAAAAUAAAAAAAAGUGCUGGACAUUUGUUUUUAUUUGGCUGCUGUAGAAAAUCAAAGAAACAAGGCCUGACAUACCUAUUGGAGUACGGUGGCUACUCGCUAGCGAGCAAAGCAGAAUCUGUCGAGUGGAGAAGUGGCUGGCCCGUGGUGGCUGGCGAGUAGAUAAGCUGUCACGCGGUGGCUGGCGAGUGGAGAAGUGGUUGGCGCGCGGUGGCUGGCAAGUAGAGAAGAAGCUAUCGCGCAAAGCAGAAACUAUCGAGCAAAGCAUAAACUGUCGCGCGGUGGCUGAUGAGUGGAGAAGUGGCUGGCGCGCGGUGGCUGGUGAGUAGAGAAGAAGUUGUCGCGCAAAGCAUAAACUGUCGCGCAGUGGCUCGAGCAGAGAAGUGGCUGGCGCGCGGUGGCUGGUGAGCAGAGAAGAAGCUGUCGCGCCGGUGAGCAGCGUCGGCCGUGAUUGCAGUGAUUGGGGUGGGUGAUUUGGAUUUGGUUUCGAUUUUGAAUAUUUGAUUUUAGGGUUUAUUUUGGGAAAUAAUGAUUUACGAAAUUGUAACACUAACAUAUAUAUAUAUAUAUAUACUCUGAUUGUGUGUAUGUAAGUUUAUGUUAACUAUCUUACACAACCAGUUAAAAAUUAAUACAUAUUUAAUUUAAUAAAAUUUAAAAAUAAUUCGAUUUUUCGGUUCGGUUUUUCGGUUCAGUUAAAUGAACCGAAUACCAAACGGGUAUUUCGGUUUUUUUAUAAAUGGUACCGUUUGGUUUUUUUUAUAAAAAAAAACCACACCGAAUUAAAAAAAACUGUCGGUUCGGUUCGGUUUUUUUAACCCUACGGUUUUUUUGCCCACCCCUAGUCAAAAGGUUCGAGAUUCAUGUUUUUAUCAUGUUAAAAUGAUUUUCCAUCAUAUCCUACACUUAUUUCAUGGCACUUGACUUUUGACGGCAAGGUGAAGGAGGUCUGCUUGUAGAACCAAAUCUCGAAGGAUGGGUAUCAGUUAGAAACAAAUAAAAUAAAAUGAAUUUUAUUGAUAGCCUUAGCCUUAGCCUAGAAAAUAAAAUCUUGUUUUAUACUUUUUAUUCAUUAAAUUUCUUUUUAAAUUACUCAAAACACAUCAAAUAUUGCGCUAAACAUACAUUCAAAUAUUCUUAAUGAUCACUAAUUUGAAUUCGUUGUAAGAAAGUUAGAGGUGGGAGGUAUAAAAUAUCACUGACUUGUCCAUCUAAACUACUAUGAUGAGUUGCGUGUAAAUUGAUCUGAACAUUAGUUGAGGACCUACUACUGUACUUCUAUUACCUACUUAAGAAUUGAGAUGAACAAAAUUUAUUUUUUUAAAAUAUAAAAAUCUUAAUAUUAUCUCUCAUAUUCUUCUUCUAUUUAUAUAUGUUGUCGUAUCAUGCGCUCAAGUAAAAUUUAGGAAGCUUUCAUUUUUCAUGAUGAUUUUUCUUUUUCCUUAAGACCAAAAUAAAGUUAGGAUUCAUUUAUGUUUUAAUUAAUCACAUGCUUGUUUGAAAAUUUUACUUUCUUACCACGUUCUUAUGAUUUUUUUUUAAAAUGUGCUCUCAUAUUCGUUAAAUUUAAGAACCAAAAAAGGGAACAGUUCAUGGCUUUAUGCUUCUUUAUAGACUGUGGUUGCCUCCAAGAUUAGCCCAAGUCAUUAGUGGGCUUUUUAAUUCUGCUCCUAUGAAAAGCCCAAAGUGUCAACAAUGAAGCAGGUCACAGGAGCAAUCCCAAUUCUGAAUCUGCCAAGUCAUUAGUGGGCUUUUAAUGCCGCCAUUUGUCUCAUUUCACAAUAUAGAUAUGCUCAUAUGCAUGCGCAGAGGAUAUAUAUAAUUUAAGGGUGGCUUUGGAUAUAAGACAGUCGUCUAAGACUUUAUAUUUUGUGAAUGUCACAUUUUUUAAAUUUUUUUAAUAAUUUGCAUUUUUUAAAUUACGUAUUUUAAAAAAUUAAAAAGCUUAUUAACAUCUUAAUUAUCAUACAAUUAAGAAUUAUUUUUAUGAAAAAUCUAUAUUUGAUAACAUUAAUGUUAAAUAGAUAUAACUAAUAAUAUUAUUUAAUCAUUAAUUCAUUCAUUAUUAAUCUUUCCAAAAAAAAUUAAAUUAGCUAUCUUUUCAAUUUCCUCAAAAAAAUUAAUUAUUUAAUGUUAGAAUAUUUGGCUUUUAGUAUUUUCCUCUCUUCUCUACAUAGAAAAUUAUUAUAUUCAUUGGUUAAUUUUUAAAAAAAAUCAGUUUAUAGAAAUACAAAGUCCAUUUCUAUUAUCUUGUCAUUAAUUCAUCAUCUCAACUUUUUAUGUUCUAUCAUUGUAAAUAUCAUGUUUGACAAUAAUAUUAUUCUUAUUUAUUUGAUUGGUUAUUUUGUAAUAUUUUUAAUGGAACAAAAAAAAUCUUCUUAACUUUUUUUUAGGUUUUAUUUUUAAAAUUCAAGAAUUAAAAAUGGAAUAAAUUUUGAGCUUUUUUUUUUAAUUUCUUUGAGUAUUGAAAUUGCAAAACAAAUAGAGGCCUCAUAAAAAAAAAUUUGCCUAAGGCCCCAAACACUUUAAAGCCGACCUUUAUAUAUAUACACUGGGUGUAGUUGUGUAUACAUAACUUACAAAGUUAUAAUUAUACUAUAAGUAUAUAUGUAUGUGUGUGUGUGUGUGUGAACAAACAAAAUAAUAAUCCAACGAAAAUUAUCGAGUAGCACUUGGUAGAAGAUCAGUAGAUCACUACAAUUUUGAGUGCCAAAUGAAGCUACACGUUGAUGACAGAGUACAUAGAGCACAAAAAUUUAAAAUGCGUUUGAUUAGUGACAUUUUAAUUUAUAUGCUCUUUAUCUUCUGUCAACAAAAUUUCAGAAAAUUAGCACCCUCUACUUCAAUCAGAACAAACACAUGCACCAAAUAUUAAAGAGGAAAAAAAGCAUCACCAAUCGAUACGCUUUUGUCUCCACAAUAAUAAAUAGCAGCUAAAUAGCCUUGGAUGCGAGCAUAUCCACAGCAGCACGAAAUUGAAGUACUUGAUAAAUUGUUUACAGUAGCAAGGUAUUUGUCUGCAUGAUGCCAGUUAAAUGGUUGCAGGCUUAAAAGCAUUGCUUUCCCUCCUUUUCUUGUUCGCCUUUUGCAAUAGAUAUGUUAUUAUAUUGUGUUUUUUAGCAGCACAUUUUCAAAGAGAUUGCAAUUGCCAUAUCGGCUGCCAAGUUAAUCAUUUGAUCAAUAUUUUAUUUUAUGGAUUUGAAUUCGACCUGACAGAUAUUAAAAACAAGUGGCAUACAACAUGACCAAAUUUUAAAUCAAUAUAUACAUUAUACUAAUGCAGCUACGAGUCUGUGACAUUUGAAAUGAGCGACUAUUUCAUUAAAGCCAUUUACGGCAGAACUACAUGCCGCAUGAAACACAACAGGACUCGUUAAAAUGUCACAAAAUUAAUACGAAAACAUUUGACAGAGAGGAAAUCUCUGCGAAAGUGAUUUGCCUUCAUAAAAUAUCAUGGUGACACUUUGACUCUUGACGACAAAGAGAGCUACUCAUAGAACCAAUCCUGAAUCGAAAAUGGAGAGUUUUGAAAAUCACAUGAAAAAUUAGCCUACGAAGACACAUCAAAAUGUUGCACCAAGCAUAAGAUUCAAGUAUCCUUAGCUCGAAUCUGUUGUAUGUAAGUUAAGUGGAAAUAUCAUGACAAAUUGAUUUUUUUUUUUUCUCUUUGCGCCUAACUAGUAUUUUAUUGGUGGUCUAACUUUUUCAAUCUGUAUACUAUGUGUGAUGAAUAACAUAUAAAUUGAUUUAAAUUUUAGUCAUAAAUUAUACCAUUUGUACUCUAAUCUACUUGAGAUUAAUGAACGUCGUAUAUGAUAAAAAAAAAUUAUUAAUAUCAUUAUAUGGUGUCAUAUCCCAUGAUCAAACUAUAUAUUCGACCAUUAAUUUUCCAAUAUCAUUAUUUGAUAUAUUUACUUCUUUCCAUAAUCAUGGUCUAACAAUUUAUGUUUUUUUUUUUUUACUUUGGGGUUCUCAAUAUGAAGCCCAACUCAUAUUGGGCAUUCAAUGUUUAAAUCAUUCAAAAGCUUAAAUAAUCCCCAAUACGCAAAGAUAGACUCAUAUUCUCAUGGCCUUUUUUGACAUAACUGAUUUUUCAAAAGUUUUUGUAUAUAUAGACACACAUACACACAUAUAUUUUGUCAUGUGUGGAAUUCUGCAUCUUUUAAAACGUGAAUUUACAUAUUAGUUAAUUGAAAAAAGUUAAUAAAAACACUAAUGCACUAAAUGGCAUAUAUGUGCCGUCACACACGCCUACAACAUAAAAACUUAUCUUACAUUAUAUAUUUUGCGAUGCAUCUGAUCAGGGGUGGCUUUAGGUAUAGGCGAACAAGGCAGUCGUCUAAGGUCUCAUUUUUUUAGUAUUUUCUUAAUAAUUCUCUAAUUAAUAAAUUUUUUUAAUACGUAUUUUAAGAAAUUAAGAGUUAUUUUUGAUAAAAAAAUCUAUUUUCAGAAACUUUAAUUUUAAAGAAUAUAAUUAAUAAUAUUAUUUAACCAUUAGUUGAUUCAUUAUUAUUAUUUCCAAAAAAUUAUUUUCCUUUUUAAUUAUUCAAUGUUAGAAUUUUUGAUUUUUAGUAUUUCUUUUAAUUUCUAUUAAAAACCUUAUAAUCUCAAGAAUUAGUAAAUGAAAAAAAUUUCUUGUUCUUUUCUCUACAAAGAAAAUUAUUAUAUUCAUUGGUUCAUGUAAAAUAAUUAGUUUCUUAAAAUAUAAAGUCCAUUUUUGUUUUUGAACAUCAAUUCAUUAUUUCAAAAUUUUGUACUCUAUCAUUUUAAAUAUUCUAUUUAAAAAAAUAUUAUUUUUAUUUAUUUGUCUGUUUGUUUUUAACGGUUUUAAUGGAAUAAAAAAAUAUAUCUUCUUGACUAUUUUUUAGGUUUUAUUUUUAAAAUUUUUUAUCUUUUUUUAUUAUUAUUGAAAUUCAAAAAUUAAAGAUGAAAUAAAUUUUAAUUCUUUUUAUAUGUCUUUGAAUAUUGAAAUUACAAAAUAAAUAGAGGCCUCAUAAAAAAAUUUCGCCUAAGUCCCCUCAAACUCUAAAGCUGGCCUUGCAUCUGAUCAUAAUUUUAAAUAUAUAUAUAUAUAUAUAUAUAUAUAUAUAUAUAUAUAUAUAUAUAUAUAUCUUUCUUAAUUCAUAAAAAUAAUAAUAGUAACAAUAAUAAUUACAACAGCAACCAUAAUUUUUAGAAACGCGUGAACUUGACAUGAGAAGUCUGGACCUGUCUACCUUACAGAUUCUGUAACAUACGCCCCAAAUGCAUGCACCACACCUGUCCUGCAUAUGGAGAAAAAGCAUGCAAUUGUUCUUGUUUGGUAGCUAGCUAACCAAUCAGGAGCUGGCUAAGUUGGAUCUGUAUGUUACAGAAUCUGUAACUUAGCCAGCUCCGAGAAGUCCUCGUUCUUCUACGUGUCGGUCGCUUUAAAAGUGUUGGUCGUCGGGGGGCGUUCCAAAUUUCCAAUGCCGCGUUUCUCUAAAUCCUGUUAAAAUUAAUAAAUAAAUAAAUAAAGUAAGCCAUUGCGUUUGGUGAGGAAAAUUAAGAAAGCGAAAGAUAUUGACUGGAAUUGGACUGCAUGCAUGGAAACUGUUUCCAAUAAGUUCUGUCGCUUUUAAUAUUGAAGAACGUUUACUAAGAAAUUUGAGGUCAAGCUAGGAUGGGGAUGGAUGGAUCAUCCCAUUCCCACCAAUGCUAACUCAUUUACAAUUACCAGGAAAUAAAGCGACUUCACUUUGCCGACUUCCCCAUUGAAAUCUGAGAGCUUCCACCUAAACAAAUCGUGGAAAGAGACUUCAGAAGCUGCGCGGCAUCCGCAUACAAAAUUUACAGUAAGAAACGAAAUUGAACAUGUUUAUCUAGAUUUGUCCCUUUAUCUUCCAUUGCAUUAAUGCUAGAAGCCCAGCACGCAGUAAUUAAAAAUUUUCUUCCAUCGUGUCGAUUUCAUUUUAUGAAUAAUUAAUAGUUUUUUUAAACAAAUUAUUAGCGCUAAUUAAUUCAAUCACAUAGUUGUAUACUAAACUAUGAUAAGUUUAAAGCCUGCCUCUCACCGAGCAAGUGAAACUGCAGAAAACAUAGCGCAUUAACACUUAUACACCGUUCUGCUUAGUUUAUUCAAAUUCGUUAAUUGUGUCUUGGAAUUGGAGGAGCAAAGACGUCUACUCAGUACUCACAGAACCAAUCUUGAAUCGGAAAUGGAGAGUUUUAAAAAUCACAUGAAAAUUAGCUUACGAAGACACAUCAAAAUGUUGCACCAAGCAUAAGAUUCAAGUAUAUAUCCUUAGCUCGAAUCUGUUGUGUGUAACUUAAGUGGAAAUAUCAAGACACGUUGAAUUUUUUUCCCUUUGGCCUAACUAGUAUUAUAUCGUUGGUCUAACUUUUCCAUCUAUAUCCUGUGUGUGAUGAAUAACAUAUAAAUUGAUCUAAAGUUUUGUCAUAAAUUAUACCAUUUGUACUCUAAUCUACUUGAGAUUAAUGAACGUUGUAUAUGAUAAUUUUUUUAUUAAUAUCAUCUCUUUUGUUAUUCUAAUAAUCUAUUAUAUGCCAUCACAUCCUCUGAUUAAAAUAUGUAGUUGACCGUUAAUUUUACAAUAUCAUUAUUUGAUAUAUUUACUUGUUUCCAUAAUCACGAUUUAUGUUUUUUUUCUUCUGAAUUUUGGUGUUCUCAAUAUGAAACCCAACUCACAUUAGGCAUUCGCAAUUUAAAUAAUUUAAAAGCCCAAAUAGUCCCCAAUGCGCAAGGAUAAACUCAUAUUCUCAUGGCCUUUUUUGACAUAAUUGAUUUGUCAAAAGUAAGGGAUAAGAUAAAAGACAAAAAAAAAAAUUUAGAUUUCAAUACACUACAGAAUAUAUAUUGUAUAUUAGUUAAUUGAAAAAAUUAAUAAAAAUACUAAUGCACUAUAUGGCGUAUACAUGCCGCCACACACGCCUACAACAUAAAAACUUAUCAUGCAUUAUAUAUUGCGCGAUUGUGUGCACUUGAUCAUAAUUUUACGCGUUAUUUCCACCCAGCCCCCAAAUAUUUUGAUAUUUUCCACCGCGCACCCAAAUGUUUUAAUAAUUUCCACCUUACACCUAAUUCCGUUAAUUUGACCGUUAUUUUUAAUGAAAUUUAGUUAAAUAUCCUAAACGUCCCUUAUCUUGAAUUAGAGAAGAAUUAAAUGAGAUAAAAUUCUUAAUUAAAGAUAAUUAAUAAUAAUCCCAUCAAUUAAUAUAUCAAAUAAAUUUAAUUUAUUAUCAUCAAAUAAUAUUUAGGGCAUGAACUUCUAAAUUUUUUCUUUGACCAUUAGAAUAAACGGUCAAAUUAACAGAUUUGAGUGUGGCGUGGAAAUUAUUGAAAGAUUUGGGGACGCGGUGGAAAAUGUUAAAAUAUUUAGGGACAUGACGGAAUUUAACUUAAUUUUAAAUAUAAAUAAAUUUUUUUAUUCAAAGUAGUAGUAGCAAUGAUAAUAAUAAUAAUAAUUACAACAGCAAACCAUAAUUUUUAGAAACGCGUGAACAUGACAUGAGAUGAGAAGUCCUCAUUCUUCCGCAUGUCGAUCACUUUAAAGGUGUUGGUCGUCGGGGGCCGUUCCAAAUUUCCAAUGCCGCGUUUCUCCAAAUCCUGUUAAAGUGAAUAAAUAAAUAAAGUAAGCCAUUGCGUUUGGUGGUGAGAAAAAUUAAGAAAGCAAAAGAUAUUGACUGGAAGUGGACAACAUGUAUGGAAACUGUUUCCAAAAGUUCUAUCGCUUUUAAUAUUGAAGAACAUUUACUUAGAAACGUGAGGUCAAGCUAGGAAGGGGACGGAUCAUCCCAUUCCCACCGAUGCUAACUCAUUUACAAUUACCAGGAAAUUAAGUGACUUCACUUUGCCGUAUGGACUUCCCCAUUGAAAUUUGAAAGCUUACACCUCUUCAGAAGCUUCCUGGCAUGCGCAUGAAAAAUUUGCGGUAAGAAACGAAAUUGAACAUGUUUAUCCAAAUUUGUCUCUUUAUCUUCCAUUGCAUUAAUGCUAAAAGCCCAGCGCUGAGUAAUUAAAAAUUUUCUUCCAUCUUGUCGAUUUCAUUUUUAUGAAUAAUUAAUAUUAUUUUUAAACAAAUUAUUUUGGUGCUUGUAGAACUUAAGAUGCUAUAAACAGACCAAGCGACCUUAGAUCCUGCCCAAGAUCGCAAACCAAAUUCACCAAGAUGCUUCAAGAUUGAUUACUACAGAAUCUAACUAAGUUGAAUUAAUGGAAGUGAUGAUGAUUAACCAAACAGAAUUAAGAAAACAGAAGAAUUAGAAAGAGCAAGGAACAAGAAAGGUUUAACGUGGUUCAGCUAGAUCUCUCUAGCUUAACUCCACGGGAGGGCAAAUAUGACCAGCUUUUAUUGAUUCUCAAGAUGAUUUACAGAGCAAUGCUAUGAGCCUUAAUACAAGAUCCGGACUGCUUAUUUAUUCCAGCCCUAUCUCUCUCUACAGCUCUCUACACUUUUGAAUCUCUUGCACCAGAAUUAGCUGCUUCAUAACAACUUCAUAAUGAACCCAGAAUUACCCAACAACUCACGUGAGUUCCUCGUGCUUUAACGGCAUUUUAACGAACCUUGUGAGCUGGAUACAAGCACGUGAUGUUCGCAUGCGUUACUUAAAGGUAAACGGCAAGCUUGUAUGUUGUUCCGAGGAGCGUUUAAUUUGCUGAUCACAACGCACGUAUCUCUGUCGUUUGGCUUAAGUGAUUUCAGCUUCAAACGCAAGGUAUUCUGUCGUUUGGGCUUUCUGGGUUUGCUUUCACACACAACAGUGCUAAUUAAUUCAAUCACAUAGUUGUAUACUAAACUAUGACAAGUUUAAAGCUCGCCUCUCACCGUGCAAAUGAAACGGUAGAAAACGUAGUGCAUUAACACUUAUACACCGUGUUUGGGAGAAAUACGUCGAAGAGACCAGGCAUGAUGAGCAGAUAUCUGAUGGCAGAGUUCUGCGAACCGAUGUGUCCCGUAAGAGCCUGGUAUCCGGAGGAGCAGGAGCAGGAGCAGGAAUACUCUGCUCAUCCAUGAGCACGUCAUCCUCGAGGCUAAUCUCCUGUAAGAAGAAUAAAGCCAUUCCUGCUGUAUUCCUGCUAAGGGGUUUAUUCGAGGAGACCCGAUCAACGACAGUUGGCGAGGCAUGCUUUCCAAUCCGAGAAUCUAGGCACACGGGCCACGCAACCACCCACGACUACGAAAAUGGGGAAUCCACUUCCGAGAGGUGGGAGGAUAAUGGGCGCGAAUGGAGGGGAGGCUCGAGUUCAGAGGUGGCCUAUAAAAAGGUAACCAACGAAGGUAAAAGGGUUAGCAAUUUUGAGAUUAUAACAGAGAUAAAGGAAAUUCUAAAAAGAGAGAAAAACUACCACAAAGCCAUAAGAUUUGUGGCAAGCGUUCCCAGAGCCUUCAUACCUGACUUGAGCGUCGGAGGGUUUACGCCGGGAAAACAACCGGCGUGCUCUGACUUGUUUCUGUGGACGCAGGGAUACUUGGAGAAGAAAGCGUACGAGGAGAGAUCCUGAUCGAGGUAAGGUUGAUAGAGCAGACAUUUCGGAUCUCGGAUCAACAUUUGGCGCCGUUUGUGGGGACCUGAGCGAAAAGCUUCUGUUGAUAGCAAGAAGAGGAGUGAAGCAAGUGAAAAACAAUGGAGACAGGAGGAAGUAGUGCACAAGGGGAUAAUAUGAGGCUUAACGAUUCCGUGACGCUGAGAGAGAUAGCCAGUGAAGCACGGGAAAAAGCCAUGUUCGACCGAAUGGAACGAAUGGAAAAGUAGAUGGAGACCCUAACAACCAUCCUGCAUGAGCUGCGGAGUGAACGAAGGGUAACCCAGGAGGAAAGGGUGAGAGGUGGUGGAGUGGCACCAGGUCCCGAUAGUGCGAGGAGAAGUCAAACCGCUGGGAGAUUUGAUGGUGAGAGAGGUAAUAUACCUCUGCGGGGAGAAUUUCAUAGAGAGGAAGAGCAAUCCCCGACAAGACAGAUUUUUGACGAGGACGACAGAGUGGCGAGUGUAGGGGAAACAGAGUUGAGGCAGCACUUGCAUGAGGUAGAGCAAGAGCGGGAUCAAGUCGCAGCACGUGACCCUGGCCGUGCAGUGCAGCUGGAGGAGGAGGUGCGCAGACUAGCGCAAAUAAUUGACGACAUGCAAGGAAGGAGCAGAGCUCCUGGUUGGAAGAUAAUUCUGGACGGAGAAUCACCGCUUGCAACAGAGAUCAUGAGGGCAGUUAUUCCGAGAGAUUUCCGCCUCCCGGACCUUAGAUAUUCGGGACGAACUGAUUCGUUGGUGCACAUAGAGCGCUUCAACGACAUAACUGGGGUACAAGGAUUAUUUUAAUCCCAAAAGUGCAGAGUGUUCCCUCUAUCCCUUGAGGGACGUGCACGAGAGUGGUACAGGAAACUUCCUCGGGGGAGCAUUAAAACCUUCGAGCAGAUGUGCCAGGAAUUUGCAGAACAGUUUCGUGGGGCAAUGGAUCUAGAAGAUGACAUGAUGGAGUUAAAAAGCAUGAAGCAGGGGGAACAAGAAACACUUUGGGAAUUCAUCAAGAGGUUUCACCGUUCUGUCCUUGAUUUGGGAGCCUUCAACCAUCCUCAGGGAUUAAGGGGACUAAAAGAAGGGGUGAAGAUAGGAAGGCUGUGGUACAACUUGAGAAGCCCAGCUAUUCAGACGUAUGCAGCCGCAUACGAACAGGCCAAAAGAGACAUAGAGAUCGAGGAAGAAAAGGCCGCUCGGAUUAAAACAGACCAACUGGAAUGGUUGGGAAAGAGAGAGAAGAGGGCAUUACCAGGAAGUGGGCCAAUCAGGAGGAAGGAUUACCAGGCCUCAGGUAGUGGUGCAGGAGGACGAGUAACCACUUAUCAGCCUCAUCAGAGGCCACUAUAGUAUCAGCGCAGCAGGGCGCAGCCUCCUCGUUCCCCAGCUAGGGAGCCUUGGAGAAGGCAUGAUUCAGCAUAUGGUGGUCAUCAACACUCCCACGCUAGCAGAGGGAGCAUACCAGAAGUACUGCCACCGCCUCCAACUCAGAACGGAGCAAAUAGAGAAAGAGCAGUGCACCUGAUCGACCAGAACCAGAACUAUGGACGAUACACUUCCUUGAAGAUGUCCCUGGACGAGGUGUACGAGGCCAUAAAGGAUCGGGGGUUGCUAUACCUCCCUGCUCCAAUAACAAAGCUACCCAGCAGGAGGGAUAGGGGACGCUAUUGUAAGUUCCAUGACACACAUGGUCACACCACAGCAGAUUGCAAAGAUCUUAAGACCCAGGUUGAAGAUUUAGUGAAAAAUCGGUAUCUGGAUGAGUUUGUAGAUGGGUCCUUCCCAAUGGUAGCCUCAACAAGUGAAGGGGAACAGAGCGACAGCAACUUGAGGCGUGAGCAGCCUGUAGUAAGGGUUAUAGUUGGGGGCCCAACAUUGGCCGGAGAUUCCAACAGGUCGAGGAAGAAUUAUGCUAGAUACGCCAUGACCAGCAAAGAGGUAUUCUUCAACACCCCAGCAGCCAAACGUGCAAGAGUCAGGCAAGUGCCAAUCAUGUGGACAGAUGAAGAUGAAGAAGGGAUCCUAUACCCCCACGAGGAUGCCUUGGUCAUCAAGGCCACUUUUGCUAGCAAGAAGUUUGACAGGAUACUAGUUGACACAGGGAGUUCAGUUGAUGUGUUGUUUAAGUCAACCCUGGAGGAGAUGGGAAUAGCAGACCUGAAGUUGGAUUACACCAAUACCUCCUUGAAGGGGUUUGGAGGAGGAAAGCUGGUCCCUCUGGGCGUGGUCGAGCUACCUAUCACGAUUGGGAGCUCCCCGACAGAAAGGACAAUGAUACUGGACUUUGUGGUAGUAGAUGAAGAAGGUCCUUACCAGAUGAUCCUAGGCCGGCCAAUUCUGAGGAUGAGUAAAGCGGUGCUGUCCAACCAUUAUCUGGCUUUGAAGUACUGGGUAAAUGGGGUAGUUGGAGUGGUACGAGGAGACCAGAGGAUCGCAAGAAGCUGCUACUCCUCAACAGCAAGGGAAGCAAUGCAAAUAACAUCCCUCGAUACCCAAGUGGAAAAUAAGAAUGGCCGACAAGAACCUGUAGAGGAUCUGGAAACAGUAAGCCUGGGACCAGAGAAUCCGGGAAAGACGAUCAGAAUCGGGUCGAGACUUAAGGGAGAGCAAAAGCAGGAGUUGGUGAAAUGCUUACAGGCUCAUGCAGAUGUGUUUGCUUGGACACAUGAAGACAUGCCAGGGAUUGACCCUGAGGUGGCAUGUCAUAAGUUGGCAAUAAAGAAAGGUGCUCGGGCAGUAAGGCAGAAGAGGAGGUGUUUCAACCAGGAGAGGUAUGAGGUCAUAAAUGGCGAGGUGGAGAAGCUCUUGAGAGCAGGGUUCAUUCGGGAAGUCAAUUACCCCGAAUGGAUAUCGAAUGUGGUGUUGGUAAAGAAGGCAAAUGGCAAGUGGUGGAUGUGUGUCGAUUUCACAGACCUUAAUAAGGCGUGCCCAAAAGACAGCUUCCCUUUACCAAAGAUCGAUCAGCUAGUAGAUUCAACGGCUGGACACGGUCUGCUUAGUUUCAUGGACGCGUUCUCGGGAUACAACCAGAUCCCCAUGUACGAGCAGGAUGAGGAGAGCACAGCUUUCAUCACCAACCAGGUUUGUUCUGUUACAGGAUAAUGCCAUUUGGUCUCAAAAAUGCUGGGGCCACCUAUUAGAGGCUGGUGAACAAAGUCUUUAAGCCGUUGAUUGGAAAAACCAUGGAAGUGUACGUGGAUGACAUGAUCACCAAAUCCAAAAUCCCGAAGGAACAUGUCAGACACCUUGAGGAGACCUUCGGGCUUUUGAGGAAGUAUAAGAUGAAGUUCAACCCGGAGAAGUGUGCUUUUGGGGUCGAGUCAGGGAAAUUCCUUGGAUUCAUGGUGAGCCAUAGGGGGGUUGAAGCAAAUCCCGAGAAAAUCCAGGCAAUUGUGCAGAUGAGGUCUCCUCGUAACCUGAAGGAGAUGCAGAGCCUCACGGGGAGGUUGGCGGCGUUGAGCAGAUUCAUAUCCAAGGCUACAGAUAAGUGUCAACUAUUCUUUCAAGUGAUAAGGAAGGGGAAGAAAACAGAAUGGACACCAGAAUGCGAGGAAGCCUUCCAGAACUUGAAGCAAUACUUGCAGCAAACCCCACUGCUGUCCACACCGAGGGAUGGGGACAAGUUAUAUUUGUAUUUGGCUGUAUCGGAUCGGGCUGCUAGUUCUGUUCUGGUGAGAGAGGAAGAAGGAGUUCAGUAUCCGAUAUACUACACCAGCAAGGCCCUGCUCGACGCUGAGGCCAGAUACCCACCAUUGGAGAAAUGGGCACUUGCCCUUGUGGUUGCGGCUCGGAAGUUGAGGCCAUAUUUUCAAGCAUUCCCAGUCUCAGUAAUAACAAACCAGCCACUGCAUCAAACUCUGAACAAGCCAGAUGCUUCUGCUCGGCUCGUCAAGUGGGCUAUAGAGCUGAGCGAGUUCGACAUAGACUACAAACCCCGAGCAGCGAUAAAGGCUCAGGCAAUGGCCGAUUUCGUAGCUGAAUUCACAGAGCCCGAAGUAUGUUUAGAUCGACAAGAUGUAGUUACAGACAGUGGCGAAGCUCAAGUAUGGCAGAUGUCUGUGGAUGGGUCAUCAGGGGAACAGGGUUCAGGAGCAGGGAUUGUCUUGGAAGGCCUGGAAGGGGAGGAGAUCUCUUAUGCUGUAAAGUUGGAAUUUGCAGCCACAAAUAACCAAGCAGAGUAUGAAGCCAUGAUAGCAGGCUUGGAAUUGGCUAAGGCCGUGAAAGCAGACAGAGUGAAGAUCAGAACUGAUUCCCAGCUAGUUGCGAAUCAUGUCAGUGAAAGAUUUCAACCAAGAGAGGAGAAGAUGGAGCAGUACCUGAAGAUAGUCAGGCAGAUGAUGGGGAGAUUUGAAGCAGUGGAGGUGAUACAAAUCCCCAGGGAGCAGAAUAGUUGAGCAGACAUUUUCGCCAGGAUGGCAGCAGUAGCCGACCCAAAAAUGCCAAAGUCGGUCCCUCUGGAGGUGAAGUCCAGCCCAAGUAUCGAGCAGAAUUUGGGGGUGUUGCGGAUAGAACAAAAAUGCUCGUGGAUGGACCCGAUAUUUCAUACAUCAAAGACGGGGUAUUACCACCAGAUAAGCUGCGAGCUCGGAAGGUUAGAGCCCAGGCCUCGAGAUACACGAUGAUUGAUGGGGCACUGUAUAGGCGAGGAUAUACACUACCUUUCCUUCGAUGUUUGGAUGAGGAUGAUGCAGAUUACGUACUGAGAGAAGUACAUGAAGGAAUUUGCGGGAACCAUUCUGGUGGGAAGUCCCUGGCCCACAAGGUUCUAAGGCAGGGAUAUUUCUGGCCGACAAUGCACCAGGAUGCACAGGAGAAGACCAGGAGCUGUGUAAGCUGCCAGAAUUUUACAAGUUUCUCCAACCAACCACCAGAUAAGCUCACCUCAAUGGCCUCCCCUUGGCCAUUUGCUCAAUGGGGAAUUGAUCUGAUCGGCUCGCUGCCAAAGGGACGAGGAGCAGCAACGCAUGCAAUAGUUACUAUAGACUACUUCACGAAAUGGAUAGAGGUAGAAGCCCUUAGCAGGAUCACAGAGAAGAAAACAACAGACUUUGUGUGGAGAAACCUGAUCUGUCGCUACGGGAUCCCUUAUGCCCUGGUAACGGAUAAUGGCAGGCAGUUCGAUAAUCACAGCUUUAGGGAUUUCUGCCAGAACCUCGGGAUAGAGCUGAAAUAUUGCUCGCCUGCUCACCCCCAAUCGAAUGGACAAGUAGAAGCAGCCAACAAGAUCCUCAAGAGGUUUUUUAAAACCAGGCUUGGAGUAAAAAAAGGGGCAAGGGUUGAUGAACUGUCAGGUGUGCUAUGGGCAUACAGAACAACCCACAAAACAGCAACUAGGGAGACACCGUUCGCUUUGGCUUUCGGUCACGAAGCGGUCGUGCCAGCUGAGAUAGGAACGACCACACACCGGACAGACCAUUUCAAUGAGCAGGAGAAUGACGAGCAGAUAUGUUUGAAUCUUGAUCUGCUAACGGAAAAGAGGGAGCAAGCAGCCGAGCGAUCAGUCAUUUACCAGCAGAGGGUUGCCCGGUAUUAUAACCAGAAUGUGAACAUAUGGCAGUUCAAGGUCGGAGAUUGGGUGUUAAGGAGAGUGAAUCAGAACACCAAAAACUCGACUCAAGGAGUGCUCGGUCCGAAUUGGGGGGGGCCCUAUAGAGUCAAGCAGCUAGUUGGACCAGGGGCUUACAAGCUAGUUCGCAGGGAUGGCCACGAGGUGAAGCGUCCAUGGAACGCAACACAUCUUAGGAAAUAUUUUCAGUAAGAGUCGUUAACAUUUUCAAGUUCUUUCUGUUCGUAUUUGCUGUUAUUUAUUUUAUGCCCAAACAAUUUCAUGUAAGUUGAAUCCUGCAAUUAAUGGAACGUCGAGGAAUUUCACUCACUUGAAACUGUGAAAAUUUCUAAGGCAUGCAAAGGCUCACCAAGUCUCAAAGCCUGUUUAUGGCGAGACAGAAGCCAAGCGUGCCAGGAUCUGUUCGACCACGAGAAGGCGAGCAGAAUCCCUAAGCAUCGAAAAAUUUCUAAGGCGGGCAAAGGCUCAUCAAGUCUCACAGCCUGUUUAUGGCGAGACAGAAGCCAAGCGUGCUAGGAUCUGCUCGACCACGAGAAGGCGAGCAGAAUCCCCAAGCAUCGAAAAAUUUCUAAGGCAUGCAAAGGCUCACCAAGUCUCAAAGCCUGUUUAUGGCGAGACAGAAGCCAAGCGUGCCAGGAUCUGUUCGACCACGAGAAGGCGAGCAGAAUCCCUAAGCAUCGAAAAAUUUCUAAGGCGGGCAAAGGCUCAUCAAGUCUCACAGCCUAUUUAUGGGGAGACCAGAAGCCAGACGCGCCAGGAUCUGCUCGACCACGAGAAGGCGAGCAGAAUCCCAAGCAUUGAAAAAUUUUCUAAGGCAUAGGGCAAAACCAUAUGCCAAGCCAGAACCUACUCAACCAGACGAAGACGAGUGGAUUCUCAAACAGAAAAAUAACUCAUGAUAAUAACACAAGAAAAUAAUCAAAAACAUUGUCAUUUAUUUGUUCAUAAUUAACAGAGUAGAUAAUCUUCACAAACAUUGUUCAUUACAAUACAAGAAAUAUAUCAAGAAGAUGGCGGAUCAGUAAGCCGAGCAGCAUCGGUUGGCUGGACCUCCUCAGGUGUAGGGGGAGUAUCACCAGUUGCAUCUGGGGGGAUGCUUACCUCGCCAACGACAGCAGGGGUGCUCGCUUCUCCAACGUCAGCAGGGACUGCACGGGGAGAAGAAUUUGCCUCCUCAAUCAGGAUCGGCUCUAUCCCUUCGGCAUCUUCCUUGGCCGCCUCCUCAUUCAUAUGCUGAGCAACACCAACUGCAAGGUCAUCCAUCUUCAGAUCAGGAUGCUGCUUUCCGAGGACGGCCAUGAUGCAACGAUAGGAAUGCCGAAGUCCCUGGUUGUCGGCCUCCCUUUCCAGUUUCUCGACCUGAGCUUGGUGAGAAUCGCGGAGAGAUUCGAGCUGAGCCUCAUACAUAGCCCUCUGCCGUUGCAGAUCCUCCUUGACUUUGGUCAGCUUCUCCUCGAGGGUAGUGGCUUUUGCUUGAGCAAGUGAUUCUUGCUCUAUCAACUUGAGGUUCUCCAAAUUCAACUCCCCUGCUUUCUUCUCGGCAACGUCAGCUCUGGUCGUCGCCGAUUGAAUGUCCUCCUUCAUCUUCCGGUCGUAGCGCCCAACCUUGGCCUUGUAAUAGGUGGUCAUGCAGCUGAGGUGAAAAGCGCUAUACUGCAUGGCCCCCACCAGCUCACCCAAGGUGCAGCCAUCGAAGUCCUGCAGGUCCUUCUUGCUCACGAGUUUAGAUAACUCAUUGAGAUAGGAGACCAAGUGUUCUGCUCGACUGUCAGGUAAGCGAGACCGAGGACCGACAAGAGAAGAAGAAGAAGCAGGAUCUGUGGCUGCUCUACUAGUUUCCCCGACUUUGGCGGGAGCAGGAGGUAAAGUCUUCAAGGGAGAGACCUGCUGCACGAUGUUGGCCCGCUUUGCAGUAGGGGCGUCCUUACUCUGGUCCCCCUUAGUGGUUGGAGGUCGAGAACGUUUCCUGGUAAGAGCCCCAAUCACAGCGUCCUCCAUCCUAUGGCCAGGAAGUAUCAAGCGAGACUCGAGCAAGUUGUAUGUAGUUAUCAGUUCUCUACUCGAGCAGGAAUUGGCUAGGACAGCCUCUACCCGUUUGAGCUGGUCAGGUUUGAGCGGGAAGUGGACACCCCAAGAACCUGCAACACAAACAAACAUCUGAUUAGAGACAAACCAGUAAAGUGCAAACAGCAAGGGAGACAAGACAUCUAAUACGAGCAGGCAACUUGGGACCACGAAACGGGUUGGGACGCGGAAGUCCUUCCCAUCAACCUACGCAACUUGACCCCAGGGACCCCCUGCAAAAAAGAACUUCCUCUUCCAAUUCCCACCACCCCCAGUAGGGAGAUCAGUUAUAGGUUUCCUGGUCUUGGUACUUGAUUGGAAAUAAUACCAGCCGGCGUCUUUGGGGCUGCUUUUCAGCUGGUACAGAUGCUUCACCUCGUCGACCGUGGGCUCACUUUGGCAACAUCUGUUCCACAGUAUGAACAGACCAGAAAGCACUCUCCACCCGUUGGGGUUCAGCUGACCAAGAGAUAGAUUUAACCCGUUAAGAAUCCGGGCAAAGUAGGGUUGCAAGGGACACCUCAGCCCGUGCCUAAAACUCUCCAAAAAAUAGGGUAACAUAUCCCCUAGGAGGCCGGCUAAGGGUAUCUUUCUUUCCUGGGACCCUAAGAAGUACUUCACCAGGAAUGUUAUACCUAAGCCGGAGGUCAGCGAGCUCGUCAAACGUGGUCGUGCACGUCAUAUAAUCAAUGGCAUAAUCACGCGACAAGGCUCUACCCUCUACUGUACCCCGCUCUUCUGGUCGUGAGGUUCCAGAUGGGGAUACCUCGCCAGAGUCACCUUCACCAUUCUCACUCAAGGUGUCUUCAGAGCUAGAAGAUCCCUCCUCACCAUUACUUCCGCUCGUAGAGGUUGUUUGAGGGGACAUCCUCCUAGCACUAGUCCCCACACUAGACCUAAUGGGUUCUAAGGGGAUCCCGGGGUCAAAAGCAGGAUCUGUAAGCAAACUAGGCAAGAAAUCUAGUUCGUCGUCAUCAAUCUCAACAACUUUCUCCUUACCCUUCGACAUUCCCUAUGUAAUGACCAAAACACCACCACCAACUACUACCCCAAGUAAAGCAAAGAAAAAGAAGUUAUCUACAAACUAUCCGAGACCGAGGAGAAAGAAGUAAUACUUGAAGUACUGUUUCAGUCGGAGAAAGGCAAGGAUGGGGGCUUUUAUGCCGAAACUUCUUCGCCGGAGGGACAGGGACAGAGACGAUGGAAAUGGCUAAUUCCCCUUCAAGAGGUUUUGGGUUAUCUUAUUGGAAGAAAAACUCUUGGAUAGCCAGCAUUUAACAGCACCGAAUCCCAAGGGUCUCGUAACCAUUGGUUUGAAAUUCAAAUGGAGGGGUGGAUCUCUGCCACAUCACCUCAUCCGCAAUUAAAUGCGACACGACUCUUGGCAGCCUUUUCUAAUCCCACGCGAGCAAGUAUUGUCGAGUUUCUACUGCUGGUCCACUACAUUACCCAACACCAGAAAUUGGGGGACCGGUGUUUGGGAGAAAUACGUCGAAGAGACCAGGCAUGAUGAGCAGAUAUGUGAUGGCAGAGUUCUGCGAACCGAUGUGUCCCGUAAGAGCCUGGUAUCCGGAGGAGCAGGAGCAGGAGCAGGAAUACUCUGCUCAUCCACGAGCACGUCAUCCUCGAGGCCAAUCUCCUGUAAGAAAAAUAAAGUCAUUCCUGCUGUAUUCCUGCUAAGGGGUUGAUUCGAGGAGACCCGGUCAACGACAGUUGGCGAGGCAUGCUUUCCAGUCCGAGAAUCUAGGCACGCAACCCACGCAACCACCCACGACUACGAAAAUGGGGAAUCCACUUCCGAGAGGUGGGAGGAUAAUGGGCGCGAAUGGAGGGGAGGCCCGAGUUCAGAGGUGGCCUAUAAAAAGGUAGCCAACGAAGGUAAAAGGGUUAGCAAUUUUGAGAUUAUAACAGAGAGAAAGGAAAUUCUAAAAAGAGAGAAAAACUACCACAAAGCCAUAAGAUUUGUGGCAAGCGUUCCCAGAACCUUCAUACCUGACUUGAGCGUCGGAGGGUUUACGCUGGGAAAACAACCGGCGUGCUCUGACUUGUUUCUGUGGACGCAGGGAUACUUGGAGAAGAAAGCGUACGAGGAGAGAUCCUGAUCGAGGCGAGGUUGAUCGAGCAGACAUUCUGGUCGUUGUAAGGGCAUAACCAGAAUCUCGCAUCAACACACCGUUCUGCUUAGUUGAUUCAAAUUCGUUAUUUGUAUCCUGGAAUUGGAGGAGCAAUGAGUAGUGAAGAAGCUUCAAUUUUCUCAACUUUUCUGUUUUGUCUGUUGACGUUUGUAUUCAGCACCAGUGAAAUUGAAGCAAGAAAACUUGAAGUAGAAAAGUGUUCUUCUUCUUGUGGAGAUGGCAAAAACAUAAGCUACCCUCUUCACCUCAAGGGCGAUCCAGCUGGAUGCGGUCAUCCGGGGUUAGAACUUUAUUACGAGAGCAACAAAACCAUCUUAGAAUCUAAUUCUGGAAAGUACUAUGUGAAGAGAAUUUCCUAUGAUAAGAGUACAAUCAGUGUUGUCGAUGCUAACUUAGCCUAUGGAAGCUGCAGCUUCCCAUCCACUUCUUUUUCCCCACCUGGUUUAAUUUUCAGAUAUUAUUUUCAUUACAAUCUUAAUUCAUACGCCUAUUACGUGAAUUGCUCGAGUAAUAUUGUUGAUCAGGCGUAUGCGAAAGUUCCAUGUUUGAGUAACAAUUAGUCGAAUGUCUAUGUUUAUGUUGCACAUGAUUUCAUCGAAACCACACAUCUUCCAGACUCAUGCGCCUUCAUUACAAAGGUUCCUGUAGUACUUAAUGGGAGCGUGGACAAACCUUCUUAUGAAGACCUCCGAAAAUUGCUGGAGUCAGGGUUCGAUCUUACAUGGUCAGAUUGGAGCUGGAGCCUCCCAAUGACUCACUGUAAGCUUAUGCUUAUAUUUAUUUAUGCAUUCAAAUGCAAGGGCUUUGUUUUUGUUUUCCAAUAUUCUACGUAAUAAAGAAUUUGUGAACUAUCUCUAAGAGCAUACCGAUAUGACCUUUAAUUUCUGUUUCUUUUUCGCUUUUGCAGUCUUUCCUGAAUGCAAUGAUUACUAUGAAGGAAUAAUCAGAAAAUUUAUUUGCUACCAAGAUGACAUACGUAAGUAGAUCCUUACAUAUCAUUUUGCUUAUGGGUUUUCGAUGUUAAUAAAUGUGAUGGCUUUAUGUACUCUCUAAUCUUUUACUUUCUAACUUUUUUCUAAAUCAUCUCUCUGAUUAGAUAUAAAGCUUAAUUUUUUCUAUCUCCAACUGCAGUUUUCCAUGAAAUCUCGCGGCGUUCCUACCGUAACAUAGAAUCAAGACUGGGGGUUUGGAUAAGUUUUUUGUUAGGUAAAAUCUCCUCUCCAGGAUCCUCUUUUUAUUGCUUUGCUUACUACUAUUUACUUUCAAUAAACGUUCUCUUUACCAGGGUUUCCAGUUGAUGUUCUGAUAAUUGGUAGAUUUAUUCUUGCUCCAAUAGUCCUUCUUGUGUUCCUUAUCCACAAAUACAGAACGACAUUGCAAACAGUUGAUAAUAUUGAGAAAUUUCUGCACAACCAGCAAUCGUGGAUGCCUAAAAGGUACUCUUACCCUGAGAUAAUUGCCGUGACAAACCACUUCACUCAUAAAUUAGGCCAAGGUGGCUUUGGUUCAGUUUAUAAAGAACAACUUCAUACCGGUCACUUGAUUGCUGUUAAGAUGCUGGAGAACUCCAAGUUCAGUGCGGAGGAAUUCAUCAACGAAGUUUCAACAAUAGGUAGAAUUCACCACGUUAAUGUGGUCCAGUUAUUGGGGUUCUGUUCUGAGGGAUCCAAACGUGCACUUGUCUACGAGUUUAUGCCUAAUGGAUCACUCGACAGGCAUAUCUUUCCAAAGGAAAAUAAAGGCCAAACUUUUGGUUGGGAGAAACUCCAGGAAAUUGCCUUAGGAACAGCUCGUGGGGUCGAGUAUUUACAUAACGGAUGUGAUAUGUGCAUUCUGCAUUUUGACAUUAAGCCUCACAACAUCCUACUAGAUCAUAAUUUCAUCCCAAAGGUCUCAGAUUUCGGCCUUGCAAAGUUUCAUCCAAAGGAAAAUGAUUUUGUGUCCAUCAGUGCCACAAGAGGAACCAUAGGAUACAUAGCACCUGAGCUGAUUUCAAGAAAUUUUGGAACUGUUUCUUGCAAGUCAGAUGUUUACGGUUUUGGGAUGGUGUUGCUGGAAAUAGCUGGAGGAAGACGAAAUUCUAAUAUGAACGCAAUUCGUUCAAGCAAAGCAUAUUUCCCAUCUUGGGUAUAUGACCAAUUAAAUAAGGGAGGUG
rnacentral:lncRNA from 1 species